ACAUUAGCUCUGACAAUGCUAUAGCUGCAAACCUUCCCCCAGAUGAAUGUGACUGUCGUGGUGCUCUGGAGAAGAACAAGUAAUUUUUGAAGACCUUAUCUAGGGCUCCUCGAUGAAAACAAAGAUACUACAUUGAACAGGCAACCGGUAGAUAUUGAACGUUAGCCUGAACUAUGUCCAGCUCUUCCUGCCUGUAGGGAUAGGUCUGAAUUUGCAUCCCUUGGCACCGUGGUCACGCCUACACAGCGCAAUGAUGCAACGAUGCAGCAGGAAAACAAGCUUUUUUUGCCUCAUGGCUUUCAAACUUGGCUCAGAAAGUUGCCUCCUAGAACAUGCAGUGUGGAGCCUUAUAAAUAGAGUCGGGUUGCAUCUGAAUGCAGUCACUGGUGGAACAACUGCUCUCUCCUGAUCUGCAGGCGUGGUUGGAAUUUUCGACUGCUGAUUGCUGAUGGAGUUGCUUUAUCGAUGUGACUGUUAAAGGCUUGUUUUCCAUCCUGAUGGUCUUGGGUUCAAGCCUUCAGCUAGAAGUCAAACAACAAAUGUCUGAGAGGAAGGAAGGACCUGUUGUGCUAGUGCUGUAAUUGCAUGCAGAAGAUGUAGGUUCAAAUUCUGGCUUUGCUACAGAUUUCCUAUGUGACCCUGCACAAACAUCCCGGCGCAUCUGUUGCCAUAGCAAAACAGAGAUAGCGUUUCCUUCCUUCCACUGCCUGUCUCCCAUAGAAGCUUUUGAGGACAAACAUUUUUACUUAUGACUUUAGAGAACAACAUUCGAUGCAGUACAGCCCUGACUUUUGGCUGGGGCCACUAGCUGCCUUCAUAUUACCAGUAAUAAAUAAAAAACAAAGCAGCCUUGUUCUGCAACAAUGACAGCCCUGGACUGCUGUCCAGGCAAGCCUGAUCAGAAGCAUAUGCACUGUCUAAAAAGUAUUUUAUCUUUUACUACCAAUUCCCUGGUUCAUCUAGCCUCCCAGUUACUCUUGUGUAAAGAAACAGCCAGUGCCAAAAGUCAACAAAUGAAGUUGUAGCUUCCUCCCUUCACUUCUUGAAUGGGACAUGGAGAAGUAGCAGCUGCUCCUCGCGUUCUGGCAUCACAUUAAUGCCGAAGUCCCCCUGGUGAGAGCGGUCCCCAAGGGGUGGAAGUGGGACCAGCAGCCAGACUAGUGUCUCUUCCUUCAGCGUGUGCUAACAGACCUGACAGGAGCUUCGCCCUAACCUGUGUUUCUGGUGGAGGAUGCACGGAAUCAGCCACGUGCUGGGCAGUUAUCUGCGAGGUGGGGACUACGAGCAGGAUCAUCCCUUGUGGCGCUGCCCUGAACGCUGCUUCGGGCGUCAGCUGCGGGUGCGUUUCCCAUGAGGAGGGGUAUUUCUACGUGACCUGUCAUGUUGGCCUGUGAGUGCUCCGGUGAUUGAAAUGAUCUGGGAAAUCUGUUUCAAGGAAGAAGUUCCUAAACCAGAGCUGGCAGCUGAAGAGCAGGAGUUGCAAAGCACACGUGCCAGCUCCAGAAGACUAUGCUGUGAAUACUUGUUUCCGUCUGGGGAUGAUGGGAGGAGGGAGGCACACUCCACCUCAGCUUUACAAGGCACAGGAACACAUGAUGGAGAUAACAUGGCUGAUGGGAGGGCUGCAGCAAUAAAAGAAGCUAUUUGAGAUGCAAGGUCACUCAGACGGAGGGAGAUGGAGUGCAGGUACUGCAGAGCUCUGGGCGAGUUUCAUCAAUCAGAAGAGUUUACCCCAACGCGCAGAAGGAGGCAUUCAUUCCUGAAGUUCUUCAGCCCAUGCAUUAGAAAGAACAACGCAGUAAGAUCUAACUGAGGAAAACGAAUAGAAGACUGUGCAAUGCAGGGAUAAUCCUCAAGUAUGCAGGAGGUAAAAUCAAGCUGUAAAAAGGACAGA